rnacentral:tRNA from 1 species
UGUUCUGUGGCUUAGUUGGUUAAAGCGCCGGUUAAAGCGAAUACGAAGACGUGGGUUGAAAUCCCACCAGAACGC